rnacentral:rRNA from 1 species
GACGAACGCUGGCGGCGUGCCUAAUACAUGCAAGUCGAACGCACUCUCGUUUAGAUUGAAGGAGCUUGCUCCUGAUUGAUAAACAUUUGAGUGAGUGGCGGACGGGUGAGUAACACGUGGGUAACCUGCCCUAAAGUGGGGGAUAACAUUUGGAAACAGAUGCUAAUACCGCAUAAAACCUAACACCGCAUGGUGUAGGGUUGAAAGAUGGUUUCGGCUAUCACUUUAGGAUGGACCCGCGGUGCAUUAGUUAGUUGGUGAGGUAAAGGCUCACCAAGACCGUGAUGCAUAGCCGACCUGAGAGGGUAAUCGGCCACACUGGGACUGAGACACGGCCCAGACUCCUACGGGAGGCAGCAGUAGGGAAUCUUCCACAAUGGACGAAAGUCUGAUGGAGCAACGCCGCGUGAGUGAAGAAGGUUUUCGGAUCGUAAAACUCUAUUGUUGGAGAAGAAUGUAUCUGAUAGUAACUGAUCAGGUAGUGACGGUAUCCAACCAGAAAGCCACGGCUAACUACGUGCCAGCAGCCGCGGUAAUACGUAGGUGGCAAGCGUUGUCCGGAUUUAUUGGGCGUAAAGCGAGCGCAGGCGGUUUCUUAAGUCUGAUGUGAAAGCCUUCGGCUCAACCGAAGAAGUGCAUCGGAAACUGGGAAACUUGAGUGCAGAAGAGGACAGUGGAACUCCAUGUGUAGCGGUGAAAUGCGUAGAUAUAUGGAAGAACACCAGCGGCGAAGGCGGCUUACUGGACUGUAACUGACGUUGAGGCUCGAAAGUGUGGGUAGCAAACAGGAUUAGAUACCCUGGUAGUC